UCCCUAAUAGUAUAGUGGCUAGUAUGCGAGCUUGUCACGCUCGAGACCUGAGUUCGAUUCUCAGUUAGGGAG